rnacentral:rRNA from 2 species
GGGAUUGCCUCAGUAGCGGCGAGUGAAGCGGCAAAAGCUCAAAUUUGAAAUCUGGCGUCUUUGGCGUCCGAGUUGUAAUUUGAAGAAGGUAUCUUUGGGCCCGGCUCUUGUCUAUGUUCCUUGGAACAGGACGUCACAGAGGGUGAGAAUCCCGUGCGAUGAGAUGACCCGGGUCUGUGUAAAGUUCCUUCGACGAGUCGAGUUGUUUGGGAAUGCAGCUCUAAGUGGGUGGUAAAUUCCAUCUAAAGCUAAAUAUUGGCGAGAGACCGAUAGCGAACAAGUACAGUGAUGGAAAGAUGAAAAGAACUUUGAAAAGAGAGUGAAAAAGUACGUGAAAUUGUUGAAAGGGAAGGGCUUGAGAUCAGACUUGGUAUUUUGCAUGUUGCUCUCUCGGGGGCGGCCGCUGCGGUUUACCGGGCCAGCAUCGGUUUGGAGCGGCAGGAUAAUGGCGGAGGAAUGUGGCACGGCUUCUGCUGUGUGUUAUAGCCUCUGACGAUACUGCCAGCCUAGACCGAGGACUGCGG